AUGGUGAUGAACUCCCUGAGCUUUUGUUUGUCAGAGAAAGUACCACUCCUUCAUUUUUGUAGACCAACUUUCCUGGAAACUGCUCAUUCAAUGACUAAUCGAUUUAAUGCCAUGUUGAAAGUAUUUGAAAACCAGGCAAAUAUGUUGGAGAG
rnacentral:sRNA from 1 species